AUGAACGCUAGCUACAGGCUUAACACAUGCAAGUCGAGGGGCAGCAUGAAUCAAGCUUGCUUGAUUGAUGGCGACCGGCGCACGGGUGCGUAACACGUAUCCAAUCUACCCAUGGCUCAGGGAUAGCCUUUCGAAAGAAAGAUUAAUACCUGAUGGUUUCAUGAGCCCGCAUGGACUUAUGAAUAAAGAUUUAUCGGCGAUGGAUGAGGAUGCGUCCGAUUAGAUAGUAGGCGGGGUAACGGCCCACCUAGUCGACGAUCGGUAGGGGCUCUGAGAGGAGGAUCCCCCACAUUGGAACUGAGACACGGUCCAAACUCCUACGGGAGGCAGCAGUGAGGAAUAUUGGUCAAUGGGCGAGAGCCUGAACCAGCCAAGUAGCGUGAGGGAUGACUGCCCUAUGGGUUGUAAACCUCUUUUGUUUGGGAAUAAAGUGAGCCACGUGUGGCUUUUUGUAUGUACCUUACGAAUAAGCAUCGGCUAAUUCCGUGCCAGCCGCCGC
rnacentral:rRNA from 1 species